rnacentral:rRNA from 1 species
GAGUUUGAUCCUGGCUCAGGAUGAACGCUGGCGGCGUGCCUAACACAUGCAAGUCGAACGGAGUUCUUAAGGAAUGCGGCUUCGGCCAAAUGACUUUUGAACUUAGUGGCGGACGGGUGAGUAACGCGUGAGCAACCUGCCUUUCAGAGGGGGAUAACAUUUGGAAACAGAUGCUAAUACCGCAUAAGAUUACAGUACCGCAUGAUACAGUGAUCAAAGGAGCAAUCCGCUGAAAAGAUGGGCUCGCGUCCGAUUAGAUAGUUGGUGAGGUAACGGACGUCACCAAGUCGACGAUCGGUAGCCGGACGUGAGAGGUUGAACGGCCGACAUUGGGACUGAGAC